UGCUGCUUGCCUAGUAGGGCUGCUGAGGUGAUCUAGGGCAUCACUGUCACCUAUGGUCCUCCUACUGAAAGAAGCA
ensembl:miRNA